rnacentral:rRNA from 1 species
UAUUACCGCGGCUGCUGGCACGUAGUUAGCCGGUGCUUCUUCUGCAGGUACCGUCACUUGCGCUUCGUCCCUACUGAAAGGGGUUUACAAUCCGAAGACCGUCAUCCCCCACGCGGCGUCGCUGCAUCAGGCUUUCGCCCAUUGUGCAAUAUUCCCCACUGCUGCCUCCCGUAGGAGU